rnacentral:rRNA from 1 species
UACGUAGGGUGCAAGCGUUGUCCGGAAUUAUUGGGCGUAAAGAGCUCGUAGGCGGUUUGUCACGUCGGAUGUGAAAUCCCGGGGCUUAACCUCGGGUCUGCAUUCGAUACGGGCUGACUAGAGUUCGGUAGGGGAGACUGGAAUUCCUGGUGUAGCGGUGAAAUGCGCAGAUAUCAGGAGGAACACCGGUGGCGAAGGCGGUCUGCUGGGCAGUUGCUGACACUGAGGCGCGACAGCGUGGGGAGCAAACAGG